UACGUAGGGGGCAAGCGUUGUCCGGAUUUAUUGGGCGUAAAGAGCGUGUAGGCGGCCUUACAGGUCAGCUGUGAAAACUCGAGGCUCAACCUCGAGACGUCGGCGGAAACCAUCUGGCUAGAGUCCGGAAGAGGAGAGUGGAAUCCCUGGUGUAGCGGUGAAAUGCGCAGAUAUCAGGAAGAACACCCGUGGCGAAGGCGGCUCUCUGGGACGGUACUGACGCUGAGACGCGAAAGCGUGGGGAGCGAACAGG
rnacentral:rRNA from 1 species